AUUGAACGCUGGCGGCAGGCCUAACACAUGCAAGUCGAACGAGUGGCGGACGGGUGAGUAAUGUCUGGGAAACUGCCUGAUGGAGGGGGAUAACUACUGGAAACGGUAGCUAAUACCGCAUACCAUCGGAUGUACCCAGAUGGGAUUAGCUAGUGGGUGGGGUAACGGCUCACCAAGGCGACGAUCCCUAGCUGGUCUGAGAGGAUGACCAGCCACACGGGGACUGAGAAACGGGCCAGACUCCUACGGGAGGCAGCAUUGGGGAAUAUUGCACAAUGGGGGCAAGCCUGACGCAGCCAUGCCGCGUGUAUGAAGAAGGCCUUCGGGUUGUAAAGUACUUUCAGCGGGGAGGCGUUACCCGCAGAAGAAGCACCGGCUAACUCCGUGCCAGCAGCCGCGGUAAUAC
rnacentral:rRNA from 1 species